UACAGAGGUCUCAAGCGUUGUUCGGAUUCAUUGGGCGUAAAGGGUGCGUAGGUGGCGGGGGUAAGUCAGGUGUGAAAUCUCGGAGCUCAACUCCGAAACUGCACUUGAUACUGCCUUGCUUGAGUACUGGAGAGGAGAUUGGAAUUUACGGUGUAGCAGUGAAAUGCGUAGAUAUCGUAAGGAAGACCAGUGGCGAAGGCGAAUCUCUGGACAGUUACUGACACUGGAGGCACGAAGGCCAGGGGAGCAAACGGG
rnacentral:rRNA from 1 species